UACGUAGGGGGCGAGCGUUGUCCGGAAUCAUUGGGCGUAAAGAGUACGUAGGCGGUCUGGUAAGCGCAAGGUGAAAGGCAUAGGCUCAACCAAUGUGAGCCUUGCGAACUGUCAGACUUGAGUGCGGGAGAGGAAAGCGGAAUUCCUGGUGUAGCGGUGAAAUGCGUAGAUAUCAGGAGGAAUACCGGUGGCGAAGGCGGCUUUCUGGACCGUAACUGACGCUGAGGUACGAAAGCGUGGGGAGCAAACA
rnacentral:rRNA from 1 species